GUUCACAUCCGCUCAGGUGUCUGUUUGACCCUUUGUUCUUCUGAUCUUUAUGGAGUUGGAAAGAGUUGAAUCUGCUGUAGAUUACACACUUUUAUUUCUUCGUCUUAUCAGUGCAGUGCUUGAUGUAUUGAAUAGCUAGAUCACACUAGUGUAUUUGUGUGUUUUAACAGUGCUGUGCCUUAUGUUUCUCUCUUUGCCUUAUAGAACAUGGAUUUCAAAGCCAACUUCUGUAGAGAGGCCUCUGGUGAGCUUACGCUCAAGCCAUCAGCCGAGGCAGCAGCCCUGGCCGCUGCCUACAGGAAAAACCCCACCCCUGGACGGACAUGGCCUGCUGCCAGGGUCAAGGAGGAGGCCAUGGCUCGUGUGGCUGCUGCUGGAGGGGACAAUGGAAAUUUGCAGCUAGUGCUAAGCGAGAGCACCUUGCAGUUUGGCCAGUACUGUGGGAAAACCUUUAAAUGGUUGCUAUCUAAUGAAGUUGGAUAUGCAGCCAUGGUGCUGGCCUCUCAUCGGCAGGAGCGUGGAGGCUUGUCCACGGCUGCAGUAAUGGGCAACAAAGAUGCGUUGCUGCAGUAUGCGGGCCUGUUUCCAGAUGUCACGGCAGCCAUACAAGAGCGGCAAGUUCGAGAGGGGUUCGGGACAACGGGCCAGGAGGACAAGCUCAUCGUCGGGUUUGGAAAUUUUGCCAUCCUGACGUUUAGGGAUCUCUAUGACGCCAAGGAUAAGGACAGAAAGGGGUCUGUGCUGAGGAAUUUUGUGACCCAGAACACUGAUCCCAGCAGUCUCAUUGCCCCUCUGCCACAGAUGGUGCCUGUCCCUAGUCCAUCUUGGCUGCUCUCAGUGUACGCCAAAGAAGUACUGACAUGGCUUCCUGAACUGAAGGCCCGUGUCACCUCUGUCUAUGGCUCCAUCUUAAAGAUGGAUUCCACCAAAAAGGUCACCAAGAAGCUAGCUGGUCAUGCUGCUGGCACUGCUGCGUGGGUGACGGAUGUGGGAAACGAAAUUGGACAAGUCCUCAUGUGUGUCCUCAUAGAAGGAGAGGGAAAGGGCCUGCUUCCCAUGUGUUCUGGACUUGUGGAUCCAUACCGCCAAGCUGGAGAAGCUCCUUUAUGUGGACCGGGACUGCUGCAGCGCAGGAGAUAAAGGCAAGGCGGCAGCAAUGUUUAGCGAGUGGGGCCAGCUGGUGGCCACCCGCUGUACGCCCCCUUCAUGGGAUGCCUCUCGGCCUGCAUCUUCGACUGGGAAGCUGGUGAUGUUGAGAGGUUAAAGGAGGCCUGCGGCUGCAAGCCCACCGCUAAAGAGCUGGCAAGGCACUGUCGUCGCCACACUCGUGGGGCCCAGGAGAUGAAGGAGCUGAUUGAACAGCUCCUAAAGGUCUUCAUGGAGGCAACGGACACAAUGUGAGUCAGGCUCUUUGAUAGGGUUGGGUAUCGAAAACCUGUUCCAUUUUAGAACCGGUUCCAAAUUUCCAAGAACCGGGUAUUCGAUAAGACGCGUGCAUUUCGAUUCUGCUUAACGAUUCCUGCGUUCACAUUUCAAUUUGAUUAAAAACUAAUAAGUGCAAGAAC
ensembl:lncRNA